AGAGUUUGAUCCUGGCUCAGGAUGAACGCUGGCGGCGUGCCUAAUACAUGCAAGUCGAACGGCAUCAGCAAUGAUGUAGUGGCGAACGGGUGAGUAACACGUUGGUGACCUGCCCCAAAGAUGGGAAUAUCACCUGGAAAACGGGUGGCAAAACCGAAUAAGCUCGAGGGAGUUAGAGAGCCUUGAGUAAAAGCGUAAGCUACUUUGGGAGGGGCCUGCGGCCCAUCAGUUAGUUGGUGAGGGUGACGGCCCACCAAGACGAAGACGGGUAGGGGACCUGAGAGGGUGGUCCCCCACAAUGGAACUGAAACACGGUCCAUACACCUACGGGUGGCAGCAGUAGGGAAUAUUGCUUAAUGGGCGAAAGCCCUGGAGCAGCAACGCCGCGUGGACGAAGGAGGCCUUCGGGUCGUAAAGUCCUUUUAUGUGGGAAAAGGAAGGAUGGUACCACAUGAAUAAGUCUCGGCUAACUACGUGCCAGCAGCCGC
rnacentral:rRNA from 1 species